CAUAAAGAGAGUUUGAUCCUGGCUCAGGAUGAACGCUGGCGGCGUGGAUAAUGCAUGCAAGUCGAACGCCCCGCCCUUUCUUUGAGCAAUCUUAGAAAGGGCGGGGAGUGGCAGACGAGUUAGUAACACGUAGGAACUUACCCCCGACGCGGCCAUAACUCUUCGAAAGAGGAG
rnacentral:ncRNA from 1 species